GACGAACGCUGGCGGCGUGCCUAAUACAUGCAAGUAGGACGCAGUUGCGAACGGGUGAGUAACGCGUAGGUAACUACCUAUUUGAGUGGGAUAACUAUUGGAAACGAUAGCUUAUACCGCAUAUUAGUAGAUGGACCUUCGUUGUAUUAGCUAGUAGGUUGGGUAAUGGCCUACCUAGGCAAAGAUACAUAGCCGACCUGGGAGGGUGGACGGCCCACAUGGGGACGGAAAAAGGCCCAAAACCCUACGGGGGGCAGCAGUAGGGAAACAUCGGAAAUGGGGGGAACCCCGACCGAACAACGGCGCGUGGGUGAAGAAGGUUUUCGGGUCGUAAAGCUAUGUUGUUAAGGGAGCGGUACUUAACCAGAAAGGGACGGCUAACUACGUGCCAGCAGCCGCGGUAAUAC
rnacentral:rRNA from 1 species